GGACGAACGCUGGCGGCGUGCUUAACACAUGCAAGUCGAGCGGUAAGGCCCUUUCGGGGGUACACGAGCGGCGAACGGGUGAGUAACACGUGGGUGACCUGCCCUCAGCUCUGGGAUAAGCCUGGGAAACCGGGUCUAAUACCGGAUAUGACUCCAUGACGCAUGUUGUGGGGUGGAAAGCCUUGUGCGGCUGAGGAUGGGCCCGCGGCCUAUCAGCUUGUUGGUGGGGUGAUGGCCACCAAGGCGACGACGGGUAGCCGGCCUGAGAGGGCGACCGGCCACACUGGGACUGAGACACGGCCCAGACUCCUACGGGAGGCAGCAGUGGGGAAUCUUGCGCAAAUGGGCGAAAGCCUGACGCAGCGACGCCGCGUGAGGGAUGACGGCCU
rnacentral:rRNA from 1 species